rnacentral:ncRNA from 1 species
GACCAUAAACAAUGUCGACCAGGAGUGGAGCCUGCGGCUUAAUUUGACUCAACACGGGGAAACUUACCAGGUCCAGACAUAGUAAGGAUUGACAGACUGAGAGCUCUUUCUUGAUUCUAUAGGUGGUGGUGUAUGGCCGUUCUUAGUUGGUGGAGCGAUUUGUCUGGUUAAUUCCGUUAACGAAUGAGACCUCAGCGUGCUAACUAGCUAUGCGGAGGUAUCCCUUCGCGGCCAGCUUCUUAGAGGGACUACGGCCUUUUAGGCCGCAGAAGUUUGAGGCAAUAACAGGUCUGUGAUGCCCUUAGAUUUUCUGGGCCGCACGAGCGCUACACUGAUGUAUUCAACGAGUUUACAGCCUUGGCCGACAGGCCCGAGUAAUCUUUGAAAUUUCAUCGUGAUGGGGAUAGAUCAUUGCAAUUGUUGGUCUUCAACGAGGAAUUCCUAGUAAGCGCGAGUCAUCAGCUCGCGUUGACUACGUCCCUGCCCUUUGUACACACCGCCUGUCGCUCCUACCGAUUGAAUGAUCCGGUGAAAUGUUCGGAUCGCAGCGACGUGGGCGGUUCGCUGCCCGCGACGUCGCGAGAAGUCCAUUGAACCUUAUCAUUUAGAGGAAGGAGAAGUCGUAACAAGGUUUCCGUAGGUGAACCUGCGGAAG